GUGUUACUCACACUAGACAAGUGUCAAAUCAGUAUGACAUUAUGUCGGAUUACGGCAUCUGCAGUAAUUAAGACUCUGUUUUUACUGUUUUUACAGGAACUGAUUUAUCUUAACAUGACAAUAAAGAAGAAUUUUGUAAGGUGAACAUAUUUGUAGUAUUGCAAAGUUACCACGUGCACUUUUCCUGUUCAUUGGUCACAUUUAAAUAGAUUAUUCUUUAUUGAACUAAAUUCGAUAUUUAAAUUGCAAGUAACUUUAAUAUCAAAACCACCGCUUUUUAUUUCUCGACUGAAAAGGGUAAUAAGACGGUUAUUUUUAUCUGACUGUAAACAUUGUAUAUAAUCACAACGAUCUAUUAAUAAUCGUUGCUCACAGAUAACGGAUUAUACAACGAUCUAUUAAUAACCGUCGCUCACGCAUCACUGGUUCUAUCACUGACUCAAUACACACCAGUUUAAUCGGACAAACGGAUAAUUCCCUGAGACAUGCGGAUAAUUCCCUGAGACACGGAAAAUCUCCGGAGAACCGCAAAAUAUUCUGUAAAACAGAAAAUUUACGAUGAACCUCUAUUUAUUAUCCGUUCCGCGGAGAUUUGCCAAAAAUCGCGGUCAUUUGCCAAAUAGGUCUACCAGUGAA
rnacentral:lncRNA from 1 species